rnacentral:rRNA from 1 species
UUGACUUGGCCAAUACUUUUAUGAUCUGAUCUCAAAUCA